UGCAAGUCGAACGCGAAAGCCCCGCAAGGGGUAAGUAGAGUGGCAAACGGGUGAGUAACACGUGGGUGACCUGCCUUCGAGUGGGGGAUAACGUCCCGAAAGGGACGCUAAUACCGCAUGACAUCCUGCCUUUGAAGAGGUGGAGAUCAAAGCUGGGGAUCGCAAGACCUAGCGCUUGAAGAGGGGCCCGCGUCCGAUUAGCUAGUUGGUGAGGUAAUGGCUCACCAAGGCAACGAUCGGUAGCCGGCCUGAGAGGGCGGACGGCCACACUGGGACUGAGACACGGCCCAGACUCCUACGGGAGGCAGCAGUGGGGAAUUGUUCGCAAUGGGCGCAAGCCUGACGACGCAACGCCGCGUGGAGGAUGAAGAUCUUCGGGUCGUAAACUCCUGUCGAAUGGGACGAACGGAUCGCGUGUGAACAACACGUGGUCGUGACGGUACCGUUAAAGGAAACCCCGGCUAACUCCGUGCCAGCAGCCGCGGUAAUACGGGGGGGGUAAGCGUUGUUCGGAAUUACUGGGCGUAAAGGGCUCGUAGGCGGCCAACUAAGUCAGACGUGAAAUCCCUCAGCUUAACUGGGGAACUGCGUCUGAUACUGGAUGGCUUGGAUCCGGAAGAGGGAUGCGGAAUUCCAGGUGUAGCGGUGAAAUGCGUAGAUAUCUGGAGGAACACCGGUGGCGAAGGCGGCAUCCUGGGCCGGUAUUGACGCUGAGGAGCGAAAGCCAGGGGAGCAAACGGGAUUAGAUACCCCGGUAGUCCUGGCCCUAAACGAUGAAUGCUUGGUGUAGCGGGUAUCGAUCCCUGCUGUGCCGAAGCUAACGCAUUAAGCAUU
rnacentral:rRNA from 1 species